rnacentral:rRNA from 1 species
CAAGUCGAGCGGAGCGAGGGUGCUUGCACCUUAGCUUAGCGGCGGACGGGUGAGUAAUGCUUAGGAAUCUGCCUAUUAGUGGGGGACAACAUUCCGAAAGGAAUGCUAAUACCGCAUACGCCCUACGGGGGAAAGCAGGGGAUCUUCGGACCUUGCGCUAAUAGAUGAGCCUAAGUCAGAUUAGCUAGUUGGUGGAGUAAAGGCCUACCAAGGCGACGAUCUGUAGCGGGUCUGAGAGGAUGAUCCGCCACACUGGGACUGAGACACGGCCCAGACUCCUACGGGAGGCAGCAGUGGGGAAUAUUGGACAAUGGGCGAAAGCCUGAUCCAGCCAUGCCGCGUGUGUGAAGAAGGCCUUUUGGUUGUAAAGCACUUUAAGCGAGGAGGAGGCUACUUGGAUUAAUACUCUAGGAUAGUGGACGUUACUCGCAGAAUAAGCACCGGCUAACUCUGUGCCAGCAGCCGCGGUAAUACAGAGGGUGCGAGCGUUAAUCGGAUUUACUGGGCGUAAAGCGUGCGUAGGCGGCUUUUUAAGUCGGAUGUGAAAUCCCUGAGCUUAACUUAGGAAUUGCAUUCGAUACUGGGAAGCUAGAGUAUGGGAGAGGAUGGUAGAAUUCCAGGUGUAGCGGUGAAAUGCGUAGAGAUCUGGAGGAAUACCGAUGGCGAAGGCAGCCAUCUGGCCUAAUACUGACGCUGAGGUACGAAAGCAUGGGGAGCAAACAGGAUUAGAUACCCUGGUAGUCCAUGCCGUAAACGAUGUCUACUAGCCGUUGGGGCCUUUGAGGCUUUAGUGGCGCAGCUAACGCGAUAAGUAGACCGCCUGGGGAGUACGGUCGCAAGACUAAAACUCAAAUGAAUUGACGG